ACCCCGGGCUUUAACCUGGGAACUGCAUUCGAAACUGGCAGGCUAGAGUCUUGUAGAGGGGGGUAGAAUUCCAGGUGUAGCGGUGAAAUGCGUAGAGAUCUGGAGGAAUACCGGUGGCGAAGGCGGCCCCCUGGACAGAGAUGACGCUCAGGUGCGAAAGCGUGGGGAGCAAACAGGAUUAGAUACCCUGGUAGUCCACGCUGUAAACGAUGUCGACUUGGAGGUUGUGCCCUUGAGGCGUGGCUUCCGGAGCUAACGCGUUAAGUCGACCGCCUGGGGAGUACGGCCGCAAGGUUAAAACUCAAAUGAAUUGACGGGGGCCCGCACAAGCGGUGGAGCAUGUGGUUUAAUUCGAUGCAACGCGAAGAAC
rnacentral:rRNA from 1 species